AGCUAUAUUUUCUCCCUUCUCAUUGGCAACAUGAAAUUGAAAAUUCUAAUUGACUCAAAAUAAAUAUUUUGAUUGAAGACCAAAAUAAAUUUCUGCAAUUCAGGAACUAUCUAAUUAGCUUUUUCACAGAAGCAUCAUAACUCUUGAAGGCCGCGCUGGAAACUGGCUAUGUUUAUUGUACUCCCACCCAUUCAUUGAUAUAGUUGUUCAGCCCACACGAAAAGAUUCCCGCCGAACUUAUGGGAAAUUAAUUGCGCUGGCUUUUCGCAGUCCGCCCACCUUGUUAACUUGGCUAACUAUGUUGGCAGUAGCGCCAUUCGCGGAUCGCAGAUCGCAGAUCACAGAUCACAGCCUUUGCUGGCAAAUGGGAACGUGCAGAAUUAAUUGCCAACUACGUGCUUGGUCAUGGGAGUUGGAAGUUGCCGGCUCCAGAUCCUGCUUCCAGCCAGACGUGCGGGUCAAAAGCGAAUGAUGAAGAUGAAGAUCUUGGCCCAAACACGUCGACAGCUUAAAAUAACUCACUGUUGGGCUUGAACUUAUUACAUAUAGAGUCUUCUGUAGCGCUUUAAAACUUCCUGAAAAAGCCAUGUGUGUAUUAAAUAAAUUGCCAGACACACCAAGCAGCAGUCAUAAAAGACGAACACCAGCAGGAAUCCCAGCUCAAAAAAAUAGAUGGAAUAAAAGACACA